CAGCAGCCGCGGGAAUACGAAGGGUGCAAGCGUUAAUCGGAAUUACUGGGAGUAAAGCGCGCGUAGGUGGUUCAUUAAGUUGGAUGUGAAAGCCCUGGGCUCAACCUGGGAACUGCAUCCAAAACUGGUGAGCUAGAGUACGGUAGAGGGUAGUGGAAUUUCCUGUGUAGCGGUGAAAUGCGUAGAUAUAGGAAGGAACACCAGUGGCGAAGGCGACUACCUGGACUGAUACUGACACUGAGGUGCGAAAGCGUGGGGAGCAAACAGGAUUAGAUACCCGCGUAGUCCCUGUCUCUUAUAC
rnacentral:rRNA from 1 species